rnacentral:rRNA from 1 species
AACUCAAGUGGCGGACGGGUGAGUAACACGUAAGAAUUUGCCUCUAGGAGGGGGACAACAACUGGAAACGGUUGCUAAUACCCCAUAUGCUUUCGAGUGAAAUGGAUUUUUCCGCCUAGAGAGAAGCUUGCGGCUGAUUAGCUUGUUGGUGAGGUAAUGGCUCACCAAGGCGACGAUCAGUAUCUGGUUUGAGAGGACGAUCAGACACACUGGAACUGAGACACGGUCCAGACUCCUACGGGAGGCAGCAGUGGGGAAUUUUCUGCAAUGGGCGAAAGCCUGACGGAGCAAUCUCGCGUGAGGGAUGACUGCCUAUGGGUUGUAAACCUCUUUUUUCAGGGAGGAAUAAAUGACGUGUACCUGAAGAAUAAGCAUCGGCUAACUCCGUGCCAGCAGCCGCGGUAAGACGGAGGAUGCAAGUGUUAUCCGGAAUCACUGGGCGUAAAGCGUCUGUAGGUGGUUUAAUAAGUCAACUGUUAAAUCUUGAAGCUCAACUUCAAAAUCGCAGUCGAAACUGUUAGACUAGAGUAUAGUAGGGGUAAAGGGAAUUUCCAGUGGAGCGGUGAAAUGCGUAGAGAUUGGAAAGAACACCGAUGGCGAAGGCACUUUACUGGGCUAUUACUGACACUCAGAGACGAAAGCUAGGGUAGCAAAUGGGAUUAGAUACCCCAGUAGUCCUAGCCGUAAACAAUGGAUACUAGAUGUUGAACAGAUCGA